rnacentral:rRNA from 1 species
GACGAACGCUGGCGGCGUGCUUAACACAUGCAAGUCGAACGGAAAGGCCCUGCUUUUGUGGGGUGCUCGAGUGGCGAACGGGUGAGUAACACGUGAGUAACCUGCCCUUGACUUUGGGAUAACUUCAGGAAACUGGGGCUAAUACCGGAUAGGAGCUCCUGCUGCAUGGUGGGGGUUGGAAAGUUUCGGCGGUUGGGGAUGGACUCGCGGCUUAUCGACUUGUUGGUGGGGUAGUGGCUUACCGAGGCUUUGACGGGUAGCCGGCUGGAGAGGGUGACCGGCCACCUUGGGACUGAGAUACGGCCCAGAGUCCUACGGGAGGCAGCAGUGGGGAAUAUUGCACAAUGGGCGGAAGCCUGAUGCAGCAACGCCGCGUGCGGGAUGACGGCCUUCGGGUUGUAAACCGCUUUCGCCUGUGACGAAGCGUGAGUGACGGUAAUGGGUAAAGAAGCACCGGCUAACUACGUG